CUUUCGGCGAUUCUGGCCAGUCUUCCGGCCGACAAGAUACUCUUUUCUCUAAGACCACACACAUGCUUCAAUUUCUUACAAGAAAAUAGAAGAAUUAAGUUUCAAGUGUGGGUUUUGAAUCAACUCUAGAGAAGAGUUUGAUUUCUUGAAUUGAAGACACUAACAAGCUUCAAGGGUUCCUAUGAGUACGGGAAUGUCGGUGGGCCGAGUCAGGAUUUCAUAUGUGCUCGAAGCACCAUGCGCUGAUGUCGUUGGGUUGUUCAGGAUCCUGAUAUGUAUAGGGAUGCCAGUGGGCCAAGUUAGGAUCUCGUAUGGUGUGGUUAUCUACUUGUGUUGGUGUAUAUGAUGUUAGCUAUCAUAUUGUUGCAUUUGUGCCUUUCUUUACUAUUUCAUC